UUAAAGUUUGAUUCUUUCUUGAAAAUUUAUUUAAAAUUUUAAAUACAUGUGAAUUAUUGUGUGAUUAAUAAUAUUUUUAAAUAAAAAAUUAUAUAUUUUAUAUUUGCAGUAAAUAAUUUUAUAAAUUAUAGAAAUAUAGAUUUAGGAAUAUUUUAUAUUAUUAGCAAAAAUUGUGCCAGCAGCUGCGGUUAUACAAUUAAUAUAAAUAAAUAUUAUAAAAUUUUAGUUAGAUUGAUAUUUAAAUUAAGAAUUGUAAUUUUAAGGUGAAAUUUAUUUUAUAAUAAAAAUUUAUUUAAGAUAUUGAAGCUAUUUAAAUUAAAAUAUAAACUAGGAUUAGAUACCCUAUUAUUUUAAUGAUAUUAAUUAAUUUAAGUAGUAAUAGUUAUAUUCUUGAAACUUAAAGAAUUUGGCGGUAUUUUAAUCUUUUCAGAGGAACCUGUUCUAUAAUCGAUAUUCCACGUUAAAUUUUACUAAAUUUUUUUAUUUGUAUAUCGUUGUCGAAAGAAUAUUUUUAAAAGAGAGAAAUUUUCUAAUAUUUAUAAUAAAAUAAAUGUCAAAUCAAGGUGCAGUUUAUGAUUUAGGAAGAAAUGGGUUACAAUAAAUUUAUUUAAAUGAAUUUAAAUUUGAAAUAAAUUUAAUGAAGGUGGAUUUGAAAGUAAAUAGAUUUUAUUAAAUUUAAUUGAUGAUAGUUCUAAAAUAUGUACAUAUUGCCCGUCGCUCUUUUUAUUUUAAAAAAAGAUAAGUCGUAACAUAGUAGAUAUACUGGAAAGUGUAUCUAGAAAGAC
rnacentral:ncRNA from 1 species